GGCGAACGGGUGAGUAACACGUGAGUAACCUGCCCCUGACUUCGGGAUAAGCCUGGGAAACUGGGUCUAAUACCGGAUACGACCGUCUGACGCAUGUUGGGUGGUGGAAAGUUGUUUCGGUUGGGGAUGGGCUCGCGGCCUAUCAGUUUGUUGGUGAGGUAAUGGCUCACCAAGACGACGACGGGUAGCCGGCCUGAGAGGGCGACCGGCCACACUGGGACUGAGACACGGCCCAGACUCCUACGGGAGGCAGCAGUGGGGAAUAUUGCACAAUGGGGGGAACCCUGAUGCAGCGACGCAGCGUGCGGGAUGACGGCCUUCGGGUUGUAAACCGCUUUCAGCAGGGAAGAAGCCUUCGGGUGACGGUACCUGCAGAAGAAGUACCGGCUAACUACGUGCCAGCAGCCGCGGUAAUACGUAGGGUACGAGCGUUGUCCGGAAUUAUUGGGCGUAAAGAGCUCGUAGGUGGUUGGUCACGUCUGCUGUGGAAACGCAACGCUUAACGUUGCGCGGGCAGUGGGUACGGGCUGACUAGAGUGCAGUAGGGGAGUCUGGAAUUCCUGGUGUAGCGGUGAAAUGCGCAGAUAUCAGGAGGAACACCGGUGGCGAAGGCGGGACUCUGGGCUGUAACUGACA
rnacentral:rRNA from 1 species